CCCGCGCCAGCCCACCUCCCUCCCCACCUUCUCCUAUGCAGCGCGCCCCUACCCUCCCCACCUUCUCCGGCGACACCGCCCACCAACACCUCCCUCCCCGCGCCGCACCACACCUCCCUGCCCACCUUCUCAGGUGCGGCGCACCCCUACCCUGCUUACCUUCUCAGGCGGCGCCACCCACCACCACCUCCGACUGCGUCCCACGGCACAACCCCAGGGACGGAUCCGACUGCAGUCAUGGCGGGAUCCGGCCGUCCUCCUGCACCUCCCCAGGGACGGAUUCGGGCGGUUCCAGUCCGCCACGCUACCAGGCAACGGGAUCGAGGAGCACACCUUCGCCUCCCUCACCCGUCCCCAUCCAGGAUCCCUCCUCUCACGCCGCCUCUGGAUGCGAGCCAUCGCCACCAACGGCUCGCGCCCCGCCGGCAAUAGGGCCCGCCAUCACCCCCAUGGCCUCGCCUCCGUCACCCCCAGGGCCGGCCAUCAACUCGGGCUACGCCCCCGCCAAGAAACCACCAAAUCCAGGGGAUCCGGUUCCACCUCCCUCGUCCGCCCCUGCCCCCUGGGUAGCUACCCCAACGAACAUGCAUCCACCCGAGCUCUCCGUGCCUCCCCGGCGGCCAUCCUCUUCCUAUCGGGUUGCCUUCCCUCGAUCCCGGCAAGGCUAAGGUGCUCCCCCGGCGCGGUGACCGCCACGGCUUCUCCUCCUGAAAAUCCGGUGGUCAUGGCCUCCGUCGUCUCCUGUGCUGCUUCCCGCAGCCGCGGCUGAUGAGCAGGACGACGGCUGUGGUUUCUCUCAGACCCCUCCAAAUCGCCUGCAAGAAACUCCCCUCCCAUCUCUAGGGGUCGCGGGCGUGUGCAGCUCGCAGGCGUAUUGCCUGUAGCUCGCAUGGGUGUGCAUGUGCAGUUCCUCCCUCGCGAUUGUUGCCACCGGCGCCCUGCUCCUCCAUGGGCCCGUCCUGGUCAUCUUCAUCCUCGCACACUCACCUUCUCCUGGAGGAUGAGAAGGAGGUAGGUGUGGGGCUUGGUGGAUGAGGAGGAGGUAGGUGCGGAUGUCAGCGAGCGAGCCCAAGAGGAGGAGCGACAGGCGCGCACCACGGGUCUCGUUAGAGCACCUCUGGAGGAGCCGGAUUCCCCCACCACCGCGCGACCGUGCAUUCCCCCCAGCGGCUUCCUUGUCCCUGUCGACGCAGGAUCCAGCAACACCUCCCUUGACGAGCUCCCUUCCCCGGCUACCACUCCCACCGGCGCCGUGCAUGCAGCACGCCCACGACGGAUGCAGUGCGGCAGGGCAGCAGAUGCAGUACGGUAGGGCGGCCGUGCGUGUUCGCCGGUGUGGUCGCUACAGAUUGCCGCGUGGGUCACUCCCGAGGAUCACUUUUUUAUCGUGUGGAUGUUCUCUCUUUUUGAUCGUGUUGCUCACUUGUUGCCUUUGGUAUGCAGAUCACUCUUUCCGCCAUGUCCGAAUCAUGUAACUCCUUGAGAGGUUUGCUCCUCUGUCUAAUGUGGUUAACUCUGUUCCUUGUGAUCCAAACCAGUUCAGUGGUGGCGAUGCAGACAUAUGUGCAGUCCACUUUGGUCGAUGUACAUCGUUUUUCAGUUAGCAGGACCUCAAUAAUGGUCACGACGAUGAUAGUUGUGGGAUGCCGAC
rnacentral:rRNA from 1 species